GAAUCAAAGAAGGGGGCCACAUGUCACCCAAAAGUGCAUUGAAUGGAAAUGUGACUUUUUUUUUUUGGUCUGCAGCACUAAGCUGAAUUAGCUAUUUUUAUCAGUGUGAGGUAAUCAGACUCAGGCCAUGUUUCUUUGACUGCAGAGAAAUCAGAGCGAUCCAAAGACUAGGUCAGUCUGGUUUGCAGCUGCAGGGACUAACGCGCUGAGAUCUUACAUGGGUUGGAGGAUUCCUGUGAAGAUCAGAUGAAGUCACAAAUGAGCAAGUGUUUUUACCAUUAACUCAGUGGCCAUGUAUCGAGUGUGUCAGUUUCCAGCCAUCAUUUAAUCUCCACCAUAAUGCCGGGCGGCAGACAUAGCUUGCUCCAUUUGAAAACCUGAGCUCAGAGAGACAUUCAGUGACUUUCUAAAGCUUCGCAGUUACUGAGCAGGAGAGCCAGGACUCAAAACCAAGCCUCUCAACUACAAGUGCCUUUCUCACUAGUAUGUGGAAUCAAAUAAAACUGCUAUUUUUGUAGGUCAAAAAAAAAAUCGAAUGUCAGCAGUUUUACGUGGUUUAACCUGAUAUAACACCUCUGUAUAAAGAACUAUUGAAAUUCAAGAGAACAGAACUAUUGAGUAGUAGCUUAGGCUCUGAUUAGCACCAUUCAAAAAAGUGUGACUUUAUACCACGUAGAGGAUCAGAAAGGGGUCAUCAAUUUCACAUUUCAUCCAAAUGGGAAACGUGGCAGCACCCUGCUCUGGUUGGGCGUAUUCACACAUGCAUAGGAGACAAGCUCUAUCAGCAGCGCCGUCCUUAAACUGGGGUCCUGAUAGACUAUGUGAUGUGCAAUAUCUACCUAUUGUCAUAGAAAAGUGUAAACUCAUGAUGAACCUGAAUCCAGGUGCAGACUGAGAUACUAAAUCAUUUAUUUAGUAAUGUAAAGUGCACGCCAUUAGCAGAUAUGCCUUUAUGAGAUUGAGAUUUUUUUUGACUAUUCUUUUUUUAUUGAAAUAGAGUUGACUUACAAUAUUAUAUUAGUUUCAGGUGUACAGCAGAGUGAUUUUAAUAGUGAAUUAUAUAGAUUAUACGCCAUAUAAAGUUGUUAUAAAAUAUUAGCUAUAUUCUCUGGAUUGUACGUUACAUCCUUGUCACUUAUUUAUUUAUUUAUUUUUAGAGUCUUUGUUGAAUUUGUUACCAUAUUGCUUCUGUUUUAUGUUUUGAUUUUUUGGCCUCGAGACAUAUGGGAUCUUAGCUCCCCAACCAGGGAUUGAACCCGCACCCCUGCAUUGGAAGGCGAAGUCUUCACUACUGGACUGCCAGGACAGUCCCACUUAUUCAUUUUAUACCUAGUCGUUUGUACCUCCUCACCUUUCUUGCCAAGUCCUGUUGACUCUUACUCUAAGAUCUCUCCAGCAUCUGUUUACUUCUCACCAUCCUUGUGGCCUCCAUGGUGGCCUAGGCCAUCAGCAUCUCUCACCUGGAUGACUACAAUAGCCUUCCCUGUCCCCUCCCAGCAAUUCUUCCUUCUGGUCUUGGUGGGUCUUGAGAGGAGCUGGCAGAGUCAAGCAGAACGUGUCUGACUAAGAGCACACAGACUGUCCCGGCGGAUGGUUCCUGAUGCCCAGCUCUAUUGCUGCAAAUGAGCAGGAGGUUGUACUUUCCUGAGGCCUGGACGUGGCACGAGCAUCCAAGGGAACAUCAAACUACUAGAGGAAAAAGGAGAAAAGGGUGAUACCGGCGCAUUUUGUUUGCAUCAGGCAAGAGGUGAAGGCCUGGAGAAAAUGCUGCCCUUUGAUUGUGCGGAGAGAUACGGACAAUCCGUAUGGAAAUGGCACCAACAAGGCGAUGGUUUUUCACAUUGUUUUCUUACUUCAGUUGCUACAAAGAAACCUUGCCUGUGGCUGACAGCCUGCUUGGCACACUCCUGCUGAAGUCCUUUGGUGAUGAAGAGCAGGCCUGACAAAUGACCAGAUUCCAGCUCCAGCUGCUGUCCCCCUGAACUUCAUGUUGGAAGAAUGUGAGAACUGGAAGGGGCCUCGAUAAUCACCAAGCUCAGUGGUUUUCAAAUUUCAUUUUGGCAACAGAAACCCUUCUCGUGAAAUGUCAUUCGGAAGCCCUGUGAGUGGAACAGGUCAAAGCGGAGCUUGUAUCUUUGAAGCGGGGGUCUGCUCACCUCUUACCCACAUAGCCCCUGGAGGCUUCCUCAAAGCAGGUCAGAGAACCACUGAUUGGGUCCAGCCCUUCAUUUCACAGGCUGCUCCAGGUCUUAGCUGCCACGUGCUGGAUCUUCGUUGCGGCAUGCCUGAUCCUUUAGUUGUGAAGUGAGGAUUAAAAGAAUAAAGGAUAGAGGAAAUGAAGGGAAGAAUAGAGCCAUCAGAGGUGAUGAUAUUGAAGUCUGAUGCUGACCCAAUUCUGAUGCUGACCCAGAGAAAAUUUCACCUGCUUGCAUUUCCACUGACCAACUAAAUAAAGGGCUGGUUAAGAAGCUUCGAGGGACUUCCCUGGUGGCGCAGUGGUUAAGACUCUUCACUCCCAGUGCAGGGGGCCCGGGUUCGAUCCCUGGUCAGGGAAAUAGAUCCUGCAUGCCGCCACAAAGAGUUGGCAUGCCACAACUAAGGAGUUCACGUGCCACAACUAAGGAGCCCGUGAGAUGCAACUAAAAAAAAGGAGCCUGCCUGCCACAACUAAGGAGCCCACGUGCCACAACUAAGAAGCUGGUGAGCCACAACUAAGGAGCUGGCCUGCCACAACUAAGACCCGACGCAACCAAAUAAAUAAAUAGAUAAAUAAAUAAAUAUUUUUUUUAAAAAAAGAAGAAGAUUUGAGACUACUUCUCUUCCAAUCACCACUGGAAAAUACACAUGAGUCUCCCUCCCAUUAGAGACACAUGCUACCAGGGAUAUCCAAGUUCUGCUGGGGAGGAAUUUGGCUCUAAAAAGUCAGAUCUUUUUAGAGCUGGUCCCAUAAACCACAGGCACAGGCCCCACGCAAAGCCUUCCUCUGGGCCUUUUAGAUUGUGUCAGGUCCUAGGGUUGGCAACACCAUCACCUCCACCAAAUGACUCUGCAAGUUUCAAAUCUCCGAAAACAAAGGUCUUGGGAGGAAAAAAGUGGCAGAGAGAUGGAAAUGGACCAGGACCCAAGGGCAGAUGCUGGAGGAGGUGCUGCAAUAGCAUCCUUUGUGCAUCCUGUCCAGGUUCUCUGAAUAUGCCCUUGAGUUAGGGCUGUGGGUGCAGUGGAAUAAAGACAAUUCAUAGUUAUUGUCUUGGAAGAGGGCAAGGACUUCUCCCAAUAAGGACCCUCUUAUUGCAACAAAGUCUCCAGACUCCUGGCUGGAAGCUGUCCUAGGCCCACGUCUUUCCCUUUGCAAUCCAAUGUCCUUCCACCAGGCUGGGCUUCUGGAGAGCAUCAUCUAGACCCGCGCACCCCAGUCCAGGACAGUGGGGAGGGGCGGGCUCUGGUGCUGUUGGGGACCUUCACCGCUGGCUUCAGUCAUCUCUCCCAGCUCUGCUCUUCCCUUUGAAGGGAUGCAGUUGACAAGCGGGUCUAUUAGAGCCUUAACUGAAUCGUCAGCACACCAGCCAUUAGCGGCUGCUGAUGAGGGAAUCCAGAGGACUACAGCAUCAAUUAUCAAGUUUGACUUCUGGACGCGGCUCUGCCAACAGUGGGCUCUCAUGAGAGUCUUUAGAAAAUGUGAUGGAGGCAGGGAGGAGAGGCAUGUGCCCAUGGUGUGGCUGUGCCCAGGAUAGGCUCUUAUGGGGCCUGCUCUAUGUGGCUACAGGUCCCGGGGCAGCCAGUGCAUCGGAGACAGAAGAGCGUCCCACCCACAGGCCUGCAUGCCUCUCUCCCAGACCUUUACAGCUUCCUGAAAAUGCAUAUGCUUCUUUGCCUCCCACAGCUGUUUCCUCCGUAAGUCUUGCCAUCUCAUCCGUGGUCUUCCUUAAUGCCUUCAGUCAAAAUCAUUCCUAAGUUUCCCAUCAUCCACAUCCAUCCUAAGAGUCACCGAGUCCUUGGAAUGCCAACUUGUUAAUAUCUCUCUGGACUCCUCUUCCUUUCCUUCUCCUACUACUUUAGUUCAAGCCCUCAUCAUCACCAUGGAAAUGGUCACAUAGGGAAAUUGGUCUCUCCAUCUCCAGUUCAUCUCCUCACCUAUGUCCAAAUCAUUCUCUUCCUAAAAAGCCAAUUUGAUUGCCACUUCUCAAAAUCCUUCCGGGAUCCUUAUAGCUUACAGGAGAAAGCAUGAUUCUUCAGCAGAGCAUUAUAGGACCUCCAUGAUCUUGGAUCCUUACAUCUCACCCUCAUAUUCCCUCAUUCUCUGGUUUUCAAAUCUAGCUGGAGCCACAGCGCACUGCCUGCCUUUCCCUAAAGUACCAAAAUGUUGGGGUCAUCAUCUUACUUUGCACAUGCAGAUGUGUCUACCUGGAGGGCCUUCCCCCACUGGAUCACGUGGGAAACUUGUACCUGUCUAUUAAGUCUCAUGUAAGAAUUCUUCCUAAUUCACCCCUUCUUUCCCGGGAGCCCUGUACAUAGUUUUCUCCUAGCACCUAAUCACACUACAAUUAUAAUUAUUUAUUUGUCUCCCCUACUGGACUUUGAGAUCAUUAGGGACAUCAGCUUCAGUAUUUAUUUCUGGAAGCCUCGGGUCGAGCACACGUGUCUAGCGCAUCAAAGACAUUCAGUAUGCUACCAUUACUACAGUGUGUGCUUGACCAAUGGAUUAGAAUACUGACGAUGUUUCUUCCAGUUCCUUUCAUGGAUCUGUAUUGAUGUGCAUUUUAUUAUUCUAUGUGGGAUUGUUAGUUGUUCACAGUCUAAUUCUUUCAAACCCAAAGAGAAAUGUUUUAGCCGUCAGAAAUACCCACCCUCUACCCCAAGAGCUCAGCACAUGACCUUGGGAUCCUUGAAUAUUUAUGGAAUUAAACUAAAAUCUGCAAGUGUUAAUUGAGCCUCUUGUUCUACUGAGGCCCUAGAAAGAGGUGCUUGGGGAAAAUGUCAGACUGUAAUAACCUAUAUGGGAAGAGAAUCUGGAA